AGAGUUUGAUCCUGGCUCAGAACGAACGUUGGCGGCGUGGAUUAGGCAUGCAAGUCGAACGAGAACGUCACCUUCGGGUGGCUAGUAAAGUGGCGAACGGGUGAGUAUCGCGUGGGAAACCUGCCCUCGAGUUGGGGAUAACACUCCCAACGGAAUGCUAAUACCGAAUAAGACCACGGUGUCGCAUGGCACUGAGGUCAAAGGUGGCCUCUACUUGUAAGCUACCGCUUGAGGAUGGUCCCGCGUCCCAUUAGCUUGUUGGUAGGGUAGUGGCCUACCAAGGCUGCGAUGGGUAGUUGGUCUGAGAGGAUGGUCAGCCACAUUGGGACUGAGAUACGGCCCAGACUCCUACGGGAGGCAGCAGUCGAGAGGCUUCGGCAAUGGGGGAAACCCUGACCGAGCGACGCCGCGUGGGCGAUGAAGGUCGUAAGAUUGUAAAGCCCUGUCAGGAGGGAAGAAAUGCGGGGAGUCAAACAGGCUUUCCGUUUGACGGUACCUCCAGAGGAAGCUCCGGCUAACUCCGUGCCAGCAGCCGCGGUAAUACGGGGGGAGCAAACGUUGUUCGGAAUUACUGGGCGUAAAGGGCGGGUAGACGGGCCGGUAAGUGGAAUGUGAAAGGCCCUGGCUCAACCAGGGACGUGCAUUCCAAACUGCCAGUCUUGAGUACAGGAGAGGAUGGGGGAAUUCCCGGUGUAGCGGUGGAAUGCAUUGAUAUCGGGAGGAACACCAGUGGCGAAGGCGCCCAUCUGGCCUGAUACUGACGCUGAUUCGCGAAAGCUAGGGGAGCAAACAGGAUUAGAUACCCUGGUAGUCCUAGCCGUAAACGGUGAGCACUAGGUGUAGGAGGCAUCGACCCCUCCUGUGCCGCAGCUAACGCAUUAAGUGCUCCGCCUGGGGAGUACGACCGCAAGGUUGAAACUCAAAGGAAUUGACGGGGGCCCGCACAAGCGGUGGAGCAUGUGGUUUAAUUCGAUGCAACGCGAAGAACCUUACCCAGGUUUGACAUGCACCGGACAGGUGUGGAAACACAUUUUCCCUUCGGGGUCGGUGCACAGGUGCUGCAUGGCUGUCGUCAGCUCGUGUCGUGAGAUGUUGGGUUAAGUCCCGCAACGAGCGCAACCCUUGUCCUUAGUUGCCAUCAAGUGAAGUUGGGCACUCUAGGGAGACUGCCGUCGAUAAGGCGGAGGAAGGUGGGGAUGACGUCAAGUCCUCAUGGUCCUUACGCCUGGGGCUACACACGUGCUACAAUGGCUGGUACAAUGGGUUGCAAUGCCGCGAGGUGGAGCUAAUCUCAAAAAACCAGUCUCAGUUCGGAUUGCAGUCUGCAACUCGACUGCAUGAAGGCGGAAUCGCUAGUAAUCGCUGAUCAGCAGGCAGCGGUGAAUAUGUUCCCGGGCCUUGUACACACCGCCCGUCAAGCCACGAAAGUAGGCAGUACCCGAAGUCGCUAUCCUAACCGCAAGGAGGGAAGCGCCGAAGGUAAGGCUUGCGAUUGGGGCUAAGUCGUAACAAGGUA
rnacentral:rRNA from 1 species